UCCUUUUUGGCCUUUAACCUUCCUCCACGUAAGGACACAGUGAACAAGGUGCCAUCUUGGAAACAAACAGCAGCCUUCACCAGACACCAGACCUUCUGGCACCUUGACCUUGCGCUUUCCAGCCUCCAGAACCGACUAGAACUAUUGCCACUGAGGGCAGGUGAAAGUUCAGCCAACUCGGAACCCGGAGGCCCCACCUUACCUCCCUUUGUUAAGAGCCCAGAGCCUUUGUCCAAAGCUGCAUCACUUCCCACCCAGCCCUUCCUGAGCCAACUCCCCGAUGUCUCCAGAAGAACACAGUCGGCAUCAUCGUGAUAACAUCAGGGAAACUCCUAUUUCCAGCAGUUUCUCCUUCAGCUGCAAAAAUGUGCAGCAGUAGACAGGGCGUGGGUUUUUGAAGUCUCUGCAGGAAGUAGAGUUGUUUUCUCAGCACCACAUCUGAGCGCAUCUUCUAAGGUGGCCAACUGUGUGGGAGCUGCAGGAGCUCAGCCGGGAUGCAGCCCUCCCAUUCCCCACCCUGUCCACCACCACCACGCCUGGAUCCGACAGGCAGGGCAGGACCCCAUGCCACGUGGUAACUGUUAAGGAAAAUGGAGCC
rnacentral:lncRNA from 1 species